GGGGAAUCUUGCGCAAUGGACGAAAGUCUGACGCAGCCAUGCCGCGUGAAUGAUGAAGGUCUUAGGAUUGUAAAGUUCUUUAGCCUGUGACGAUGAUGACGGUAACAGGAGAAUAAGCCCCGGCUAACUUCGUGCCAGCAGCCGCGGUAAUACGAAGGGGGCUAGCGUUGUUCGGAAUUACUGGGCGUAAAGCGCGCGUAGGCGGUUAUGCAAGCCAGAGGUGAAAUGCCCGAGCUUAACUUGGGAAUUGCCUUUGGAACUGCAUGGCUUUGAGGACGAGAGAGGUGAGUGGAAUUCCCAGUGUAGAGGUGAAAUUCGUAGAUAUUGGGAAGAACACCGGUGGCGAAGGCGGCUCACUGGCUCGUUUCUGACGCUGUAGCGCGAAAGCGUGGGGAUCAAACAGGA
rnacentral:rRNA from 1 species